rnacentral:rRNA from 1 species
CGGGUGAGUAACGCGUGGAUAACCUGCCUUACACUGGGGGAUAACACUUAGAAAUAGGUGCUAAUACCGCAUAAGCGCACAGAGCCGCAUGGCUCAGUGUGAAAAACUCCGGUGGUGUAAGAUGGAUCCGCGUCUGAUUAGCUGGUUGGCGGGGGUAGAAGCCCACCAAGGCGACGAUCAGUAGCCGGCCUGAGAGGGUGAACGGCCACAUUGGGACUGAGACACGGCCCAAACUCCUACGGAAGGCAGCAG